CCUACGGGUGGCAGCAGUGGGGGAUAUUGCACAAUGGGGGGAACCCUGAUGCAGCGACGCCGCGUGGGUGAAGAAGCGCCUCGGCGCGUAAAGCCCUGUCAGCAGGGAAGAAAGUGACGGUACCUGAAGAAGAAGCCCCGGCUAACUACGUGCCAGCAGCCGCGGUAAUACGUAGGGGGCAAGCGUUAUCCGGAUUUACUGGGUGUAAUGGGGGCGCAGACGGCGAUGCAAGCCAGGAGUGAAAGCCCGGGGCCCAACCCCGGGACUGCUCUUGGAACUGCGUGGCUGGAGUGCAGGAGGGGUAGGCGGAAUUCCUGGUGUAGCGGUGAAAUGCGUAGAUAUCACGAAGAACUCCGAUUGCGAAGGCAGCUUACUAAACUGCCACUGACAUUGAGGCUCGAAAGUGUGGGUAUCAAACAGGAUUAGAUACCCGUGUAGUC
rnacentral:rRNA from 1 species